AUUGAACGCUGGCGGCAGGCCUAACACAUGCAAGUCGAGCGGAUGAAGGGAGCUUGCUCCUGGAUUCAGCGGCGGACGGGUGAGUAAUGCCUAGGAAUCUGCCUGGUAGUGGGGGAUAACGUUCGGAAACGGGCGCUAAUACAGCAUACGUCCUGAGGGAGAAAGUGGGGGAUCUUCGGACCUCACGCUAUCAGAUGAGCCUAGGUCGGAUUAGCUAGUUGGUGGGGUAAAGGCCUACCAAGGCGACGAUCCGUAACUGGUCUGAGAGGAUGAUCAGUCACACUGGAACUGAGACACGGUCCAUGCUCCUACGGGAGGCAGCAGUGGGGAAUAUUGGACAAUGGGCGAAAGCCUGAUCCAGCCAUGCCGCGUGUGUUGAGAAGGUCUUCGGAUUGUAAAGCACUUUAAGUUGGGAGGAAGGGCAGUAAGUUAAUACCUUGCUGUUUUGACGUUACCAACAGAAUAAGCACCGGCUAACUUCGUG
rnacentral:rRNA from 1 species